GACGAACGCUAGCUACAGGCUUAACACAUGCAAGUCGAGGGGCAGCGCAGUGUAGCAAUACAUGGGCGGCGACCGGCGCACGGGUGCGUAACGCGUAUCCAACCUUCCCGUUACUCAGGGAUAGCCUUCCGAAAGGGAGAUUAAUACCUGAUGGUGUUCAAAUUCCGCAUGUUAUUUGAACUAAAGAUUUAUCGGUAACGGAUGGGGAUGCGUGACAUUAGGUAGAUGGCGGGGUAACGGCCCACCAUGCCUACGAUGUCUAGGGGUUCUGAGAGGAAGGUCCCCCACACUGGAACUGAGACACGGUCCAGACUCCUACGGGAGGCAGCAGUGAGGAAUAUUGGUCAAUGGUCGGAAGACUGAACCAGCCAUGCCGCGUGAAGGUCACGGCCCUAUGGGUCUUAAACUUCUUUUGUAAGGGAGCAAAUAAGGUUCACGUGUGGACUGAUGAGAGUACCUUACGAAUAAGCAUCGGCUAACUCCGUGCCAGCAGCC
rnacentral:rRNA from 1 species